rnacentral:rRNA from 1 species
GACGAACGCUGGCGGCGUGCCUAAUACAUGCAAGUAGAACGCUGAAGAGAGGAGCUUGCUCUUCUUGGAUGAGUUGCGAACGGGUGAGUAACGCGUAGGUAACCUGCCUGGUAGCGGGGGAUAACUAUUGGAAACGAUAGCUAAUACCGCAUGAUAUUAAUUGUCGCAUGAUAAUUAAUUGAAAGAUGCAAUUGCAUCACUACCAGAUGGACCUGCGUUGUAUUAGCUAGUUGGUGAGGUAACGGCUCACCAAGGCGACGAUACAUAGCCGACCUGAGAGGGUGAUCGGCCACACUGGGACUGGGACACGGCCCAGACUCCUACGGGAGGCAGCGGUAGGGAAUCUUCGGCAAUGGGGGGAACCCUGACCGAGCAACGCCGCGUGAGUGAAGAAGGUUUUCGGAUCGUAAAGCUCUGUUGUAAGAGAAGAACGGGUGUGAGAGUGGAAAGUUCACACUGUGACGGUAUCUUACCAGAAAGGGACGGCUAACUACGUGCCAGCAGCCGCGGUAAUACGUAGGUCCCGAGCGUUGUCCGGAUUUAUUGGGCGUAAAGCGAGCGCAGGCGGUUAGAUAAGUCUGAAGUUAAGGCUGUGGCUUAACCAUAGUAUGCUUUGGAAACUGUUUAACUUGAGUGCAGAAGGGGAGAGUGGAAUUCCAUGUGUAGCGGUGAAAUGCGUAGAUAUAUGGAGGAACACCGGUGGCGAAAGCGGCUCUCUGGUCUGUAACUGACGCUGAGGCUCGAAAGCGUGGGGAGCAAACAGGAUUAGAUACCCUGGUAGUCCACGCCGUAAACGAUGAGUGCUAGGUGUUAGGCCCUUUCCGGGGCUUAGUGCCGCAGCUAACGCAUUAAGCACUCCGCCUGGGGAGUACGACCGCAAGGUUGAAACUCAAAGGAAUUGACGGGGGCCCGCACAAGCGGUGGAGCAUGUGGUUUAAUUCGAAGCAACGCGAAGAACCUUACCAGGUCUUGACAUCCCUCUGACCGCUCUAGAGAUAGAGUUUUCCUUCGGGACAGAGGUGACAGGUGGUGCAUGGUUGUCGUCAGCUCGUGUCGUGAGAUGUUGGGUUAAGUCCCGCAACGAGCGCAACCCCUAUUGUUAGUUGCCAUCAUUCAGUUGGGCACUCUAGCGAGACUGCCGGUAAUAAACCGGAGGAAGGUGGGGAUGACGUCAAAUCAUCAUGCCCCUUAUGACCUGGGCUACACACGUGCUACAAUGGCUGGUACAACGAGUCGCAAGCCGGUGACGGCAAGCUAAUCUCUGAAAGCCAGUCUCAGUUCGGAUUGUAGGCUGCAACUCGCCUACAUGAAGUCGGAAUCGCUAGUAAUCGCGGAUCAGCACGCCGCGGUGAAUACGUUCCCGGGCCU